rnacentral:rRNA from 1 species
CGCGGCCUAUCAGCUUGUUGGUGAGGUAAUGGCUCACCAAGGCGACGACGGGUAGCCGGCCUGAGAGGGCGACCGGCCACACUGGGACUGAGACACGGCCCAGACUCCUACGGGAGGCAGCAGUGGGGAAUAUUGCACAAUGGGCGCAAGCCUGAUGCAGCGACGCCGCGUGAGGGAUGACGGCCUUCGGGUUGUAAACCUCUUUCAGCAGGGAAGAAGCGAAAGUGACGGUACCUGCAGAAGAAGCACCGGCUAACUACGUGCCAGCAGCCGCGGUAAUACGUAGGGUGCGAGCGUUGUCCGGAAUUAUUGGGCGUAAAGAGCUCGUAGGCGGUUUGUCGCGUCUGCUGUGAAAACCCGGGGCUCAACUCCGGGCGUGCAGUGGGUACGGGCAGACUAGAGUGUGGUAGGGGAGACUGGAAUUCCUGGUGUAGCGGUGGAAUGCGCAGAUAUCAGGAGGAACACCGAUGGCGAAGGCAGGUCUC